CUUCAAAGAAAGGGGGUUUUAACCCCUGCCCCUAGCUCCCAAAGCUAAGAUCCUAACUU
rnacentral:tRNA from 1 species